CAUGGUACAAUCGGGAAAGGAGCAAUCCGCUAAAAGAUGGCCUUGCGUCUGAUUAGAUAGUUGGUGGGGUAACGGCCUACCAAGUCGACGAUCAGUAGCCGGACUGAGAGGUUGAACGGCCACAUUGGGACUGAGAUACGGCCCAGACUCCUACGGGAGGCAGCAGUCGGGAAUAUUGCGCAAUGGAGGAAACUCUGACGCAGUGACGCCGCGUAUAGGAAGAAGGUUUUCGGAUUGUAAACUAUUGUCGUUAGGGAAGAGAAAGGACAGUACCUAAGGAGGAAGCUCCGGCUAACUACGUGCCAGCAGCCGCGGUAAUACGUAGGGAGCGAGCGUUAUCCGGAAUUAUUGGGUGUAAAGGGUGCGUAGACGGGAAGAUAAGUUAGUUGUGAAAUCCCUCGGCUUAACUGAGGAACUGCAACUAAAACUGUUUUUCUUGAGUGCAGGAGAGGUAAGUGGAAUUCCUAGUGUAGCGGUGAAAUGCGUAGAUAUUAGGAGGAACACCAGUGGCGAAGGCGACUUACUGGACUGUAACUGACGUUGAGGCACGAAAGUGUGGGGAGCAAACAGGAUUAGAUACCCUGGUAGUCCACACCGUAAACGAUGGAUACUAGGUGUAGGAGAUAUUAAGUCUUCUGUGCCGUCG
rnacentral:rRNA from 1 species